rnacentral:rRNA from 1 species
GUUGAGAGUGGCGGAAGGGUGAGUAACGCGUGGGCAAUCUACCCUAGAGUUGGGGAUAACGUUUGGAAACGAACGCUAAUACCGAAUAUGGUUCUUGGUCGCAUGACUCGGAUACUAAAGGUGGGGAUUCUUCGGAACCUGCCGCUCUUGGAGGAGCCCGCGUAUGAUUAGCUUGUUGGUGGGGUAACGGCUCACCAAGGCUUCGAUCAUUAGCUGGUCUGAGAGGAUGAUCAGCCACACUGGGACUGAGACACUGCCCAGACUCCUACGGGAGGCUGCAGUCGAGAAUCAUCCGCAAUGCGGGAAACCGUGACGAUGCGACGCUGCGUGGAGGAUGACGGCCUUAGGGUUGUAAACUCCUGUCAUGAGGGAAAAGUUGUCAUGUGGUUAAUAACCACGCGACUCGAUGGUACCUCAAGAGGAAGCCACGGCUAACUCUGUGCCAGCAGCCGCGGUAAUACAGAGGUGGCGAGCGUUGUUCGGAUUUACUGGGCGUAAAGGGUGCGUAGGUGGUACGGUAAGUCGGGUGUGAAAGCCCAGGGCCCAACCCUGGAAUUGCAUCCGAUACUGCCGAACUAGAGUACAGGAGGGGAGAGCGGAAUUCUUGGUGUAGCGGUGAAAUGCGUUGAUAUCAAGAAGAACACCGGUGGCGAAGGCGGCUCUCUGGAAUGUUACUGACACUGAGGCACGAAAGUUGGGGGAGCAAACAGGAUUAAGAUACCCUGGUAGUCCCAACCCGUAAAACGGUGUCGACUUUGGUGUGGGGGGGAAAUUGGACCCCCCU